CGUCGAAGGUAUACCGACAAGGAGUGCUGGAGCGAAUAGAAGUGAGCAUGCAGGCAUGAGUAGCGAUAAUUAAUGUGAGAAUCAUUAACGCCGUAAACCCAAGGUUUCCUACGCGAUGCUCGUCAUCGUAGGGUUAGUCGGGUCCUAAGCUGAGUCCGAAAGGGGUAAGCGAUGGCAAAUAGGUUAAUAUUCCUAUACCAACAUUAGUGUGCGAUGGAAGGACGCUUAGGGCUAAGGGGGCUAGCGGAUGGAAGUGCUAGUCUAAGGUCGUAGGAGGUUAUACAGGCAAAUCCGUAUAACAAUACUCCGAGAACUGAAAGGCUUUUUGAAGUCUUCGGAUGGAAAGAAGAACCCCUGAUGCCGUCGAGCCAAGAAAAGUUUCUAAGUUUAGCUAAUGUUGCCCGUACCGUAAACCGACACAGGUGGGUGGGAUGAGUAUUCUAAGGCGCGUGGAAGAACUCUCUUUAAGGAACUCUGCAAAAUAGCACCGUAUCUUCGGUAUAAGGUGUGCCUCCCUUUGUAUUAGAAUUCACUUCGAAAGCAAAGAAGGUUACAACAAAGAGUCCCUCCCGACUGUUUACCAAAAACACAGCACUCUGCUAACUCGUAAGAGGAUGUAUAGGGUGUGACGCCUGCCCGGUGCUCGAAGGUUAAUUGAUGGGGUUAGCAUUAGCGAAGCUCUUGAUCGAAGCCCGAGUAAACGGCGGCCGUAACUAUAACGGUCCUAAGGUAGCGAAAUUCCUUGUCGGUUAAAUACCGACCUGCAUGAAUGGCGUAACGAGAUGGGAGCUGUCUCAAAGAGGGAUCCAGUGAAAUUGUAGUGGAGGUGAAAAUUCCUCCUACCCGCGGCAAGACGGAAAGACCCCGUGGACCUUUACUACAGCUUGACACUGCUAUUUGGAUAAGAAUGUGCAGGAUAGGUGGGAGGCUUUGAGUAUAUGACGCCAGUUGUAUAUGAGCCAUUGUUGAGAUACCACUCUUUCUUAUUUGGGUAGCUAACCAGCUUGAGUUAUCCUCAAGUGGGACAAUGUCUGGUGGGUAGUUUGACUGGGGCGGUCGCCUCCCAAAUAAUAACGGAGGCUUACAAAGGUUGGCUCAUAGCGGUUGGAAAUCGCUAGUAGAGUAUAAAGGUAUAAGCCAGCUUAACUGCAAGACAUACAAGUCAAGCAGAGACGAAAGUCGGUCUUAGUGAUCCGGUGGUUCUGUGUGGAAGGGCCAUCGCUCAAAGGAUAAAAGGUACCCCGGGGAUAACAGGCUGAUCUCCCCCAAGAGCUCACAUCGACGGGGAGGUUUGGCACCUCGAUGUCGGCUCAUCGCAUCCUGGGGCUGGAGCAGGUCCCAAGGGUAUGGCUGUUCGCCAUUUAAAGCGGUACGCGAGCUGGGUUCAGAACGUCGUGAGACAGUUCGGUCCCUAUCUGCCGUGGGCGUAAGAAGAUUGAAGAGAUUUGACCCUAGUACGAGAGGACCGGGUUGAACAAACCACUGGUGUAGCUGUUGUUCUGCCAAGAGCAUCGCAGCGUAGCUAAGUUUGGAAAGGAUAAACGCUGAAAGCAUCUAAGCGUGAAGCCAACUCUAAGAUGAAUCUUCUCUAAGCUCUCUAGAAGACUACUAGUUUGAUAGGCUGGGUGUGUAAUGGAUGAAAGUCCUUUAGCUGACCAGUACUAAUAGAGCGUUUGGCUUA
rnacentral:rRNA from 1 species